AGAAGAGAUUUUAAAAAACAUAUCGAGACGGGAAGGGCUAUUGAAUCACGCUUGUUCGACUUGGCUAAGACUUUUUUUUAAUUUAUUUUUUAUUUAGAAAUACAUACACAGGAGGAAAGAAUUUUAUCAAAACAAAAGUAACGCCAAAAAAGGGACCCAUUUACAUGAUAUGGCUUUGAGCUUAAGGCUUUUCAUCUUAUUCUUUACAAAGUUAGUCAUAUUCUUCCUCAGAAUCGGUGCUGCAAUUAUCCUGAAACUCUGCGCACAAAUCCGCCUCCCAUCCAUCAGUGUUUUGAGCCUUUUCCUGCUUUCUUUGUCUUUUGGAAUUUUUCAGAAGUUGAAGGGUUUUCUUUCUUUUGGAUUUUUCUUCAACCCCUUAUUUUAAAAAAAUACAUUAAUUUAUAUUCAUUUUCUUUCUUACUGGUAAAAUUACCUUUCAUUGCACCUUCAUUAUUUUCCCGAUCAGGAGCUUCUGGAAGAAAUUUUUCAUCCAUUCCAGGUUUUUCUGUAAGCACAAAAAAUAGAUUAUUUUUAAUUUUAAAUUUUCUUUCAGGUAAAUUUGCCUUUCAAAUUAGCAUUGAUUCCCAAAUUUUCAUUUUGUCCAGAAGGAAUGGCAUUUGCAGCCUGAUCCAAGAGUUUCAUUUGAGGAGUGGCUUCUACGGCAGCAACUUUAUGUUUGACAACUGUUUAUCAUCUGCUUCUUCCAAUUCAAGUUCAUCAUCUGCUUCGUCCAAUUCAGGUGCAUCAGAAUCAGAAUUGAUUCCCAAAUUUUCAUUUUGUUCAGAAGGAAUGGCAUUUGCAGCCUGAUCCAAAAGUUUCAUUUGAGGAGUCGCUUCUACGGCAGCAACUUCAUGUUUGACAACUGUUUAUCAUCUGCUUCUUCCAAUUCAAGUUCAUCAUCUGCUUUGUCCAAUUCAGGUGCAUCAGAAUCAUCUGCGUUAAUAAUUGAGUUUUACAAAAUUGUGAUCUUAGCUCUUACAUUUUUCUUUACCUGUUAAAGAACAGUCAUGAGAGUUCCAAGGAUAAAAUUAAUUCCGCACUAUUGAAUUUUUAAUUAGAUUCCACUUAUUGGAAACAAUAUGUUAUAAUAUUCUAUAUAAAAUACUUAAAAAUGAGCUAGCUGCAUCGAAAAGAAUGACUGACUCAUAAACUAAAUGGAUGAAGUGACUAACCAAGUGAAUUCAAUUUAUCAGCGACGAUUUAUUUCUGAGUUACAUCAGUUGUGUUCGAACAGUACCAAAAACAGGGCAUUUACAUUAAUUUUAAAAGGGUUUAAAGCUGCUACAAAGUGAAUUAAAGAAACUCUUCAUUGUUCUCGGACUUUGAUUCAGUCGUGCAGUGGGACAAGCUGCUGCACAGACUGCUUUCUUCGAAUCCUUCAUCGUCUCCGUAAUCUUCUCCAUCAUUACUGCCCGAAGAAUCAAAACCACCUUCUCCAACAUCUGAGACACCAUCUUCACUGUUUUGAUACUGACGAUCGAAAAAGUAGCGUUCAUGCUAUCCAGUUUGGCUUUUUUCGCAAAUUCAAUCCUGUAGUCUUCCUUCACAUUUCGUUUCAGAAUGAUUUUGUCAUCUGAAGGCGUGAAAUUUUUUAGUUAUUUUAGUUUAUUAACUGAAGUGUUAAUUUUUAUUAGUUGUUACAAACUAACCAUAAAGUUUUUCAAAUUCAUCGAGUGCUUCACCAAUUUCCAAAGUCAGUUCUGGUAAAUCUAGAAAAGAAAAGAAUAAUUUUGAACUGAAAUUACUUGAAAUCUAGAGCAAAAGAAUUUUAAGUUACCUUGCUUUCCUCCGUCUUCAUUCAUGACUUCCAAUACUUGCUGUUCCUCGGUAUCAUCUGAAGGGACUGUUUACAGACUAGGUUUAAUUUUAGCUUAUUGAUUUUAUAAGAUUUAAACUUACGAUUAGUGUUCGAUUUAACACAAGCAGAAUUUGUUGAAUCCUGCUUCAAACCACAUCUGAAAAAAUUAAAAAAAUUAUGCACUCUUUUCUGGGAAGUUUUGUUUGUAAUCAACUUACUUUUCACAAAGAUUCUCCAAUUCUCCAAUUCACUUCCUUCCAUUUCUUCAACUUUCACUUAUUUUGAAAUUAAUGUAAAGUUUGAAACUUUUCCAGAGUUUUCGAGACUUUGCGAGAGUUUAUAAUUUUUCAUCAUCUACGACUUCCAAUUCAGCUUCCCUUUGAACAUCUUCAGAGAUUUCUUUUGGUACAUCGUCUGAAAUGAUAAACAUUUUUUUUUCCACCAACACUAUAAAAAGGUAUUAAAACUUUUGAUUACCUUGUUUUGUUUCUCCAGCUCUGUUUCCGAUAGGUCAUGAGAGGUGUUUAAACUGAGCUAUUCAAGUCUGAUACAGAUUUAUCAGAAUCAGAACUCAAGUCGCAGUAGUCAUAAGGCAUUAAAAUGAUUGUUUAUUACCUUGUUUUUUAUCCAUUGAUGUUUCUGAUAAAUCCUCAGAGGUGUUUGCUUACACUGAGCUGUCGGAAUCAGAUUUAUUAGAAUCAGAACUGAAGUCACUGAAGUCACAAUAAUUAUAAUGAUAGUUCGACUCAUUCUCUCCUUCCAAAUACUCUUAAUCUAUUAAAGGGUAAUCUCUAAGAAAGGGUAUGCAAAAUUUAAAAUUAUUAACAAAUUCGUAAUCUGAUAAGAUUGAUUCCCCCCAAGAGGUUUAGCUAAAAAAAAUUUUAGUUAUAAAUUGUAUUAAAAUUGAAAACCUUUUUUUUAUGGUAAUCCAUUUAACAAAAAAAAAGUUAUUUGUUCCCUUUUCUUAUGCUCUGUCCAUCUAGCGGUCACCACUAGAUACCCCAUAUUUUUGUGUUACAGACUUCCUUAAUUUUUUGGUUAGCAAAGAUGGUGAGUGUUUGCUCUGCCAAUUUGGUGACAGAAUUCGAGUUAUGAAAAAUAAGCAGGCCAUUAAAAGUACAGAAAAAGGAACCAAGGUGCAUUAUUGAUCUUAAUUUAGGAUUUUAAAAAGGAAAAAAAAACAAACUCAACAACGUUUUAGUUUUAUCAUUUUCGAACCACCGAUCUUAAUUCCGCUGUAAUCUGAUCUACGAUUUUUGACGAAUUUCUUUUUGCUUCAUAUUGUCUCCUUUGAAUUAGAAGAAGUAAGCUGUAUAAAUUUUCUAUACAACGUUUACGGACUUUCUUGGGUUCUUUUCAUAUUUUUAUGCAAGUGACAAUAAUACGUGUAUAAAGGGAAGCGUGUGUGUUUUGUUUUUUUAGUUACCAUGAAACGAAAAAUAGACCCGAAUACACUGCUCUAAAAAUCG